UACGUAGGUGGCAAGCGUUGUCCGGAAUUAUUGGGCGUAAAGCGCGCGCAGGCGGUCCUUUAAGUCUGAUGUGAAAGCCCACGGCUCAACCGUGGAGGGUCAUUGGAAACUGGGGGACUUGAGUACAGAAGAGGAAAGCGGAAUUCCACGUGUAGCGGUGAAAUGCGUAGAGAUGUGGAGGAACACCAGUGGCGAAAGCGGCUUUCUGGUCUGUAACUGACGCUGAGACGCGAAAGCGUGGGGAGCGAACCGG
rnacentral:rRNA from 1 species